GUGCCAGCAGCGGCGGUAAUACGGAGGGGCUAGCGUUGUUCGGAAUUACUGGGCGUAAAGCGCACGUAGGCGGAUCAGAAAGUCAGAGGUGAAAUCCCAGGGCUCAACCUUGGAACUGCCUUUGAAACUCCUGGUCUUGAGGUCGAGAGAGGUGAGUGGAAUUCCGAGUGUAGAGGUGAAAUUCGUAGAUAUUCGGAGGAACACCAGUGGCGAAGGCGGCUCACUGGCUCGAUACUGACGCUGAGGUGCGAAAGCGUGGGAGCAAACAGGAUUAGAUACCCUGGUAGUCCACGCCGUAACGAUGAAUGCCAGACGUCGGGCAGCAU
rnacentral:rRNA from 1 species